rnacentral:tRNA from 1 species
AGGGGUGUAGUUCAAUGGUAGAACAGCGGUCUCCAAAACCGUUGGUUGUGGGUUCAAGUCCUGUCACCCCUG